rnacentral:rRNA from 1 species
AAAUUGAAGAGUUUGAUCAUGGCUCAGAUUGAACGCUGGCGGCAGGCCUAACACAUGCAAGUCGAACGGUAACAGGAAGAAGCUUGCUUCUUUGCUGACGAGUGGCGGACGGGUGAGUAAUGUCUGGGAAACUGCCUGAUGGAGGGGGAUAACUACUGGAAACGGUAGCUAAUACCGCAUAACGUCGCAAGACCAAAGAGGGGGACCUUCGGGCCUCUUGCCAUCGGAUGUGCCCAGAUGGGAUUAGCUAGUAGGUGGGGUAACGGCUCACCUAGGCGACGAUCCCUAGCUGGUCUGAGAGGAUGACCAGCCACACUGGAACUGAGACACGGUCCAGACUCCUACGGGAGGCAGCAGUGGGGAAUAUUGCACAAUGGGCGCAAGCCUGAUGCAGCCAUGCCGCGUGUAUGAAGAAGGCCUUCGGGUUGUAAAGUACUUUCAGCGGGGAGGAAG